CUUCGUUAGCUUCGUCUUCGCAACGAGAGCCGCCAUCUUCUCGCGCCUAACGUUUUGUAUGGCUUUGUUCUCUGCAAUCCGCGCACGCAGCUCAUCGGUGGAUGCACGUCUGCUCGGCGUCGCAAUGCGGCCUGCGUCAUUUUUUGGUGUUCGCGCAAUCGGUGUGAAGCAUGUCGCAUGUGAAAUGUUUGGUAGAAGUGCCUCACGUCCAAGUCAAGCCGCCGUACGGGUGUAUGGCUGUGCGCCCUGUUCUCGGAAGCGUCAACGGCUUUCCGGCAUGCGGAUUUCAGCGUUUGGACUCGACUUUUGGUGAGGCUGUCGAUCGACCUUGGGCCUGGUGACAGCACACCCGACAUCGCCAAAGUGCAGCCUAUCAGUUGAGUGCCCCCGAAUGGACCAUCAACAUCGGAAACUGAAGCAGAGCCAGGGGGAAAAAGCUCCGGUAACACCAUGCAUUCAGUAUGGUGGCCCAGACGUGUAUGCAAGCAACCUCCUUCAUGUGGACCAAGAACUUCUCUGCAGUGUCUCACAGACUUCCAUGCGAAGCCCUCAACAUUCUCGUCUCAGUGGAAUGGCUGCCCAUCUAUCUGCGUGUCCAUCACCAAGACGGCUAGUUGUAAAGCUCCUGUACCCGUUUAAGAAAGCUUAAUGAUUUUUUUUAUUUAGUUUUCACGGUUGGCCGUAGAAUCUUAACAUUUUUGAUGUUUCUAACGUUUUUACCUGGCACAAAGUGGCGCAAUAACUUUAAACCAGUGUAAUGUAUUUAAGUGAUGCUCACUCUAAUGCCUAUCUGGUUUUGUUUGUGUUUAAGAAAUUUGAAUGUCUGAUGAGGUAACAGCAUUUAAAUUUGUCAUCGUGGCUUGGUUCAAUGAGCUGCUAGGAAAUAAGAUGCAAAACUUAUCACAUGCCAGUUGUAGCAUUUUUGUAUUCAUGACUAAAGUAUACACGUUUCAAAAGAUGGAAAGUGGGGAAAAAAAGCCUCAAGAACAUAAUCAUCCUAGGAUUGUCAUGUCCUUACAACUCUGCAAUGACUAAUGCCUCAUGCAUCUUGGGAGCACAAUGGUCGCAAUGCCUACAGGUAUACUUGAUAAGAGACUAGCUUGCAAAAAUUUAGUUGAGAGUUAGCGCUCAUCCUGUCUGCUUCUAGUCUGUGUCCAUGCCACUUCGCGCUACAAUCCAAGAUCAUGUUACUGUACCAACUCGCCCAACUUUUUAUCCUUGUGUUAAAGACACACUCAGACUUGUUCUUACUUAUGUGACCGGUUAUUUUUGUGCUUUAUAAUAAGAUGCAGUGCUUUUCGAAUGAAAACGUGAUAUUUAGUAGUGAGGUUAUUUAAAAAAACUGUUCUGCUUAAAAUUUAAUUGAGCAAGCCUGUGCCAUUAUUCGGUGCUUAUGUCUUUGUAUUGGUAUGGUUUUACUCAUCUUCCUUUUUACUUUUAAAAUGUGCAAACAUUAUUAUGUAACCAUUUCUCUUGAAUGAAAUAAAUACUUCUGACAUUUCGUCACAAA